GAAGCAGAGCCCAAGUGUAAAUGAGUUUUAUUUCAUAUGCAAUUAAAAAAAUGAAGUACAACAUCUCCCUUUACAAAUAUACAGGGGGAACGCAUCUUAACCCCACCUCAGUGCUCACAACAGCCAUCGUUAACACCUAAAUGGGCAGGGACAGAGCAGAGACAGACAGAGGUGGAGACAGAGGGACAGAGACAGAGAGAGACAGAGGUGGAGACCGAGCAGAGACCGAGAUAGAGGGACUGACUGAUGUAGAGACGGCGAAAACGAGUGAAAGUACAUCCCUAGAUAAAACUUCACAAUGGCCUCCGACAUACAUUGACGGACAGCAAUUCAUAACAGGACAACACGAGAGACACUCAGAGUAAGACAGAGAUGUGAAGCAGUCCAAUCCUCAGACCGUCAUCUCCAGCGCAACCUAACAAUCUUCCUAAAAAUCUAAAAAACAAAUUUGCCAUGAGAAAACCAAACAGUGCCUUAUUUAAUUCUGUCCUGUAUUGGGACUCUAAUUAGGUUUUAGUGCUUUCCUACCCUCUCGGUCGUUGAAAGCAUAAACUAAUACAUUCAAUCUGGAAAUUCUCAAAAUGGUUGUACAUCAGAUUGUAUAUUUUAGAGGUAGAUAGGUAUAGGGUAUGUUUUUAUUUUCCUUAACCUUUUGAGUAUAUUGUAUGACUCAAACACUUCAAACCAAACUUUUGCUGAGUCAAAGGUUGGGGCACACCUCAUUGGUGGGGGAGCGGCGCACCACAGGCCGCUAAAGUCGGUCCCCUUUAGUUUAGCCAACCACUACGUUGCUUCUGCCCAAUCAUGUGAUGGAAUCACCAUCAGCUAACGGUCAUUUUUCUUUCCUAAAUACAGACCUAAACUGGCAGUGAUGGUGACAAAACACGGCUCCUCAAAGGGCCAGGGCUGAGGUGAUCAAGCGAGAUGAGCAACAGAUCAGAUCAGAGACGGAUGGACGGAGGAGUAGCA